rnacentral:rRNA from 1 species
AACGCGAAGAACCUUACCCAGGCUCGAACGGUACGCGACGGCGGCAGAGAUGUCGUUUUCCUUCGGGACGCGUAUCGAGGUGCUGCAUGGUUGUCGUCAGCUCGUGCCGUGAGGUGUCGGCUUAAGUGCCACAACGAGCGCAACCCUUGUUGACAGUUGCCAUCGGGUAAAGCCGGGGACUCUGUCGAGACUGCCACCGUAAGGUGUGAGGAAGGGGGGGAUGACGUCAAAUCAGCACGGCCCUUACGUCCGGGGCUACACACGUGUUACAAUGGGGGGCACAGCGCGCUGGUGCAUGGCGACAUGCAUCGAAUCGUGAAAUCCCCUCUCAGUUCGGACUGGAGUCUGCAACCCGACUCCACGAAGCUGGAUUCGCUAGUAAUCGCGCAUCAGCCAUGGCGCGGUGAAUACGUUCCCGGGUCUUGUACACACCG